UACGGAAGGGGCUAGCGGUGUUCGGACUUAGUGGGCGUAAAGAGCGUGUCGGCGGUUUACCAAGUUGGGGGUGAAAUCCCGGAGCUCAACUCCGGAACUGCCUUCAAAACUGGUAGGCUCGAGUCCGGAAGAGGGGCGUGGAAUUCCCAGUGUAGAGGUGAAAUUCGUAGAUAUUGGGAAGAACACCGGUGGCGAAGGCGGCGCCCUGGUCCGGUACUGACGCUGAGGCGCGAAAGCGUGGGGAGCAAACAGU
rnacentral:rRNA from 1 species